UCCCUGGUGGUUCAGACAGUAGAGACUCUGCCUGCAAUACAGGAGACCCAGGUUCAAUUCCUGGAUUGGGAA
rnacentral:tRNA from 1 species